UGGCCUGCAGCUCAGUGGUAGAGCAUGUGUUUUGCAUGCAGAAGCUCCCAAGUUCAACCCCUUGCAUUUUUG